AGAAACAGUGUUAUUUUCAGCAUCAACAGAUUGCUGCACUAUAAAUGAGAGACCUUGAGUAAUUUGUAUUGCAUAUGACAGCGAAAAACCCACUAAGCCCGGGUUGGGACUACCUUUAAUUGCAGAAAGGAUUCCAUAAAAUGCUGUACAAAAAAUGAUUAAGUCUCCAAUGCAUUCCACUCGAAUAGCUUGCCAUCUACUGGAACUGAAAAACAUGAACCAUACACGAUGAUUGGUAUCAAUUCGUAGGUCAUUUUCUUCAACGAAAGUCUCUUGCAUACCGUACGCUCGGAUUGUUGAUAAACCGCUUAAUGAUUCUUGAACAUGUGCGUAUAAAGGACUUCUGGUGACAUUAUCUAGUCUUUUUAAUUCACGUGAAGUUCGCACAUAGUAAGCCCUAUUAUAAAGAUACAGAAAAAACAGAGGAACUAUCAGAAGUAAAGAUAAUGGUGCAGAAUAGCAGAUAACUCCCAAAAUGAAGAGCACUUGAAUUGAAUUUCGAAAGAAAAACAUAAAUGUCAACGAAACUACUUCAUCAACUUUGUAUACAUCGUUCGAAAAUCGGUUUAAGAUUCUUCCACUAGACGUGGUUUCAAAAAAGCCCAUCGGAGCACGCAAAAUCGUCUUAAGCAUUGAAUCAUGCAAAUAUCGACCGCUUCGUAUACCGCACAACACCGUCAUAGUCAAGCUACUACUUGAAAUGAAAGCACAUGAUAAAAAUCCAAAAAAUAAAUAAAUUCCAAGAUAGAAAUAAGGGCUAGGGUUAAGUUCUGAACUUGAUUUUCCAUUUUCUUCACUCCAAUGUUUCAACCAAACAUUGGUUGCGACGUUCAUCAUUAUACCACUUAUUAUGAAGAAGAAGUAUAGUAAAAUUAAGCCGAUGGAACAUGAUUUAAAAUACAUCCAAUAUACAUGCCAUUUAACCUUACCGCGUUGAACAAGUUCAUCAGUUUGAGCAACACACUUUCCCUUAUCAUCUUCUGUCACUUUUUGGCGGAUCGGAUUUCUCUUUCUAGAUUUAUACUUAUUAGAACUAUCUUUUCUUUCACUUGAAGAAUACGUUUCUAAGCCUUCGACAUGAAUUGAAGGAGCCAAAGAAAUUUGAGUACUUGGAUACGAUGUAGUAUGUUCGGGUAAAGGCUGCGUGUCCUUCUCAUCGUUGAACUCCGAUAGUUGUUGUUUUAGCUCAGAAUUUGUCGAGACAAAUAAGUGCUCAUAGUUUCCUUUUUCAACAAUUUUUCCAUUGCUUAAUAUAUAAAUUGAGUCUGCUUCUUUAAGCACAUUUAAAGAAUUUGUUGUAAGAACAACACAGUGCGUCCUCAAGAAACCUUCUGGACCAAAAAGAUUUUUAAUUAAAUCUCUGCUUACAUGCUGAUCUACGGAAGACAAAACAUCAUCGAGAAGAUAGAUGUCUGCUUGAGAAUAUAUUGCACGAGCAAGUGAGAUUCUCGACUUUUGACCCCCCGACAGCGAUGCACCUUUUUGGCCGACUUCCGUUUGAUCCCCUUCAGUAAAUAUUUCAAAAUCACGUUUCAAGCAGCAUGCAUGAAUGGUUUUCUCAUACAAUUCAGGAUCAAAUUCAGAUCCGAAGAGAAUGUUUUCCCGGAUAGUUGCAUCAAAGAUCCAUGGUUGCUGAGCUGCAUAAGCUAGUGAACCACAUUGGAAAACAGAACCUGAAUUUUUAUACAUAUUCCCCAUACAUGCUUCUAGCAAAGAAGACUUACCCGCUCCAACUUUGCCAAAUAUGCAAGUCAGCUCACCAUUUUUUGCGACAAAAUUAAUUUGACGUAAAGUUGGCGUUACUUGUUGCUUUAGUGUUUUUUUAGACCAACUGAAGGUGCCACUUUUAAUUUCAAGACAAAUUUCAUGAGGAAUCUCUGUAGCGGGAAAUCGUUGUACCCCAUUGUAAUCCAAUUCUUGUGCUAUGAGAAAUUCAUAUAUUCGAGAAACGGAUACAGAUGCUUCCAACAAAGAACUAAUUACUGUGGGUAACAUGGCCAAUGGGAAUUGCAACAGGUUGAAAAGACUUACAGCAGGAAAUACUAUAUCCGCAGUGAGAGCUUGAGUUUUCCCAUGGAAAAUAAUAAAGGCUCCAAAAGCAACAGUUGUAACAAUAAUGGUAGUAAAAAUCCAGGCAAAAUCACCAAUUGCAGUGAUGAAACCAAUUUUUUUUAACAUACUUAAUUCUUUAGUAUUUCUUAUAUGCAGUAGCUUCUGAAGGAAUGGGGUUUCCCAUGCAUAAAGUUUAAUACUGCGUAUAUUAUUGAUAAUUUCGGUCAUCAAUUUGGAACGGGAAUCUUUGUUUUUCAUUAAAAUACUUUGAAACUUCUUGUACACAUUGGCGACAAUAAUGUUGCAUGGAAAUAGUAUAACGGAUGCAGCGACACCCGUAAAAGCGCUAUAUCCCAUAAGGUGGUAUAAAUUUGAAAGAGCUAAAGCAAUUUGAAAUGGACCUGAAACAAUAAUGAAUAAAUAUAUCGGCAGAUCACUUAUUUUUUGAGUAUCGACAGCCAUGUAAUUUAUUAUAUCACCAAUAGAUCGAUUUUGGCGUGCUGAACUUGAUAGAAGAAGAGAUUUACGAUAAAUAGAUGCAAGUAGUUCCGUUUUCCAUCUCAUUCCAAG